rnacentral:rRNA from 1 species
GUCGAGCGAACGGACGAGAAGCUUGCUUCUCUGAUGUUAGCGGCGGACGGGUGAGUAACACGUGGAUAACCUACCUAUAAGACUGGGAUAACUUCGGGAAACCGGAGCUAAUACCGGAUAAUAUUUUGAACCGCAUGGUUCAAAAGUGAAAGACGGUCUUGCUGUCACUUAUAGAUGGAUCCGCGCUGCAUUAGCUAGUUGGUAAGGUAACGGCUUACCAAGGCAACGAUGCAUAGCCGACCUGAGAGGGUGAUCGGCCACACUGGAACUGAGACACGGUCCAGACUCCUACGGGAGGCAGCAGUAGGGAAUCUUCCGCAAUGGGCGAAAGCCUGACGGAGCAACGCCGCGUGAGUGAUGAAGGUCUUCGGAUCGUAAAACUCUGUUAUUAGGGAAGAACAUAUGUGUAAGUAACUGUGCGCAUCUUGACGGUACCUAAUCAGAAAGCCACGGCUAACUACGUGCCAGCAGCCGCGGUAAUACGUAGGUGGCAAGCGUUAUCCGGAAUUAUUGGGCGUAAAGCGCGCGUAGGCGGUUUUUUAAGUCUGAUGUGAAAGCCCACGGCUCAACCGUGGAGGGUCAUUGGAAACUGGAAAACUUAAGUGCAGAAGAGGAAAGUGGAAUUCCAUGUGUAGCGGUGAAAUGCGCAGAGAUAUGGAGGAACACCAGUGGCGAAGGCGACUUUCUGGUCUGUAACUGACGCUGAUGUGCGA